rnacentral:lncRNA from 1 species
GAGAAAGGAUCCAUUAGUAGAAGGUGGUUCCCAAUAUUAAAUUCUACAAAAACAUCAAGAAGGACAAGGAGUAAGAAAAAGCCAUGGAGUUUGGGAAUUAGAAAGUCAUGAAUGACCUUGGGGGAAAGGAUUUCAGUAGAACAGUAGGUACAGAAGCUAAAAUGCUUAGGUUUGAGAACAAGGACCUGGUUGUCUUGUUGUCCUUUGCUUUAGUCUGGCCACAUCCAGAGUAUUGUAUUUAGUUCUGGGUACCAUAUUUUAAGAAGGAUGUUGACAACCUGUAGAGGGGAGUCAACCAGUCUGGAGAGACCAUACAGUACAGAACGUUUAGCCUGGGCAAGAAAAGACUUAAGAGUAUGACAAAGAGUUGAUCAAGGAUGAAUAUAGUAAGAAGACUUCCCGCUUAUUUCCACAUAGUGUGUCAUUCUGUCCUAGGCUAUCAACCUACUUGAAGAACAGCACUGAAAAAGAAAAGAUGUAUGGUCAUUAUGAUCCCCAAAUCUGUGGGCUAAAAAAUCAACUGAAAUCAAAAGACUGCAGAGGCUUUGAGUAGGACCCUGCUGAUGAACUUAGUGCCCUAUGUCCAAGGACCAGCCUCGCAAAGGGAAGAAAAGCCUCAGCAGCAAAAGGUUAACCACAAGGGCUGUUUUCACCACGGCACCAAAGCCAUAUUAGACAUUGUGGAGGAUAUGAAGAAGGAGGAACAAUUCCUGCCCUCUGGAACUGUGGUCUCCAAAUGUUUUUGAUCAGACAUCUCAUUAGUAAAAAAAUUUGAACAUAUACUUCCAAUACAUGUGUGUUUUGUACAUAUAACAUAUGUGUAAAGUGCACGUAUAAAUCUAUAUGUGUCUGUUAUUUAUUUCUAAAUUAUACAUGUGUACUACUGUUCUGAGGUAUACAUUGAAGUAAAAGAAUGCGAUAAAGAAGAAAUAAUUAAUAUUUCAGAAUAUUAUUUGUCAACAUACAAAAUCCUAUCUUCACUAAAAUUAUCUUUCAUAAUAAUUCCAUAUUUUAGUAAGAGCAAUGUCAUGGAGUUUAUUUUUUUUUUUUACUCUGGGUAUAACCUGGAAGAUAGGGUAAUCCUAUAAAUGACAGUUGUUAGUAAUUAAUUACUUAGUUAAUUUGAAUGUAGGUAGCUAAGCAGCUGAAUAUCUUUUUUUAAAGAUAUUUCUUACUUGUAAGAUAUAUAAUAUAAUAACCAAAUAAUUUCAUAAUGGUCAGUGAACAUAAGAGCUUUUCAGCAAGGACCAUAUUUCUUAGUAUGGAUAUUUACCAUACACAAUGCAAAGAUGACAAACAAUAGCAAAAUUCUGAAUUCAAUUCAGCA